GUGUUUGCUUCAGCAGCACAUAUACUAAAAUCAGAAUGAUACAGAGAAGAUUAGCAUGGCCCUUGUGCAAGGAUGACAUGAACAUUCUUGAAGUGUUCCAUAUAUAU